rnacentral:rRNA from 1 species
GGAUGCGAUCAUACCAGCACUAAAGCACCGGAUCCCAUCUGAACUCCGAAGUUAAGCGUGCUUGGGCGAGAGUAGUACUAGGAUGGGUGACCUCCUGGGAGGUCCUCGUGUUGCAUUUC